UACGUAGGGUGCGAACGUUGUCCGGAAUUAUUGGGCGUAAAGAGCUUGUAGGCGGUUUGUCGCGUCUGCUGUGAAAAUCCGGGGCUCAACCCCGGACUUGCAGUGGGUACGGGCAGACUAGAGUGUGGUAGGGGAGACUGGAAUUCCUGGUGUAGCGGUGAAAUGCGCAGAUAUCAGGAGGAACACCGAUGGCGAAGGCAGGUCUCUGGGCCACUACUGACGCUGAGAAGCGAAAGCAUGGGGAGCGAACAGG
rnacentral:rRNA from 1 species